rnacentral:tRNA from 1 species
GCAGGUGUAGUUUAAUGGUAAAAUGUCUGCUUGCCAUGCAGAAGAUGGGGGUUCGAUUCCCCUCGCUUGCUCCA